rnacentral:rRNA from 2 species
CCCUUUGGGUGUGACUGCGUACCUUUUGUAUAAUGGGUCAGCGACUUAUAUUCUGUAGCAAGGUUAACCGAAUAGGGGAGCCGGAGGGAAACCGAGUCUUAAUUGGGCGUUAAGUUGCAGGGUAUAGACCCGAAACCCGGUGAUCUAGCCAUGGGCAGGUUGAAGGUUGGGUAACACUAACUGGAGGACCGAACCGACUAAUGUUGAAAAAUUAGCGGAUGACCUGUGGCUGGGGGUGAAAGGCCAAUCAAACCGGGAGAUAGCUGGUUCUCCCCGAAAGCUAUUUAGGUAGCGCCUCGUGAAUUCAUCUCCGGGGGUAGAGCACUGUUUCGGCUAGGGGGCCAUCCCGGCUUACCAACCCGAUGCAAACUGCGAAUACCGGAGAAUGUUAUCACGGGAGACACACGGCGGGUGCUAACGUCCGUCGUGAAGAGGGAAACAACCCAGACCGCCAGCUAAGGUCCCAAAGUCAUGGUUAAGUGGGAAACGAUGUGGGAAGGCCCAGACAGCCAGGAUGUUGGCUUAGAAGCAGCCAUCAUUUAAAGAAAGCGUAAUAGCUCACUGGUCGAGUCGGCCUGCGCGGAAGAUGUAACGGGGCUAAACCAUGCACCGAAGCUGCGGCAGCGACACUGUGUGUUGUUGGGUAGGGGAGCGUUCUGUAAGCCUGCGAAGGUGGCCUGUGAGGGUUGCUGGAGGUAUCAGAAGUGCGAAUGCUGACAUAAGUAACGAUAAAGCGGGUGAAAAGCCCGCUCGCCGGAAGACCAAGGGUUCCUGUCCAACGUUAAUCGGGGCAGGGUGAGUCGACCCCUAAGGCGAGGCCGAAAGGCGUAGUCGAUGGGAAACGGGUUAAUAUUCCCGUACUUGGUGUUACUGCGAAGGGGGGACGGAGAAGGCUAUGUUGGCCGGGCGACGGUUGUCCCGGUUUAAGCGUGUAGGUGUGUGUUCCAGGUAAAUCCGGUUCACUUUAACACUGAGGCGUGACGACGAGGCACUACGGUGCUGAAGCAACAAAUGCCCUGCUUCCAGGAAAAGCCUCUAAGCAUCAGGUAACAUCAAAUCGUACCCCAAACCGACACAGGUGGUCAGGUAGAGAAUACCAAGGCGCUUGAGAGAACUCGGGUGAAGGAACUAGGCAAAAUGGUGCCGUAACUUCGGGAGAAGGCACGCUGACACGUAGGUGAAGUGAUUUACUCAUGGAGCUGAAGUCAGUCGAAGAUACCAGCUGGCUGCAACUGUUUAUUAAAAACACAGCACUGUGCAAACACGAAAGUGGACGUAUACGGUGUGACGCCUGCCCGGUGCCGGAAGGUUAAUUGAUGGGGUCAGCGCAAGCGAAGCUCCUGAUCGAAGCCCCGGUAAACGGCGGCCGUAACUAUAACGGUCCUAAGGUAGCGAAAUUCCUUGUCGGGUAAGUUCCGACCUGCACGAAUGGCGUAAUGAUGGCCAGGCUGUCUCCACCCGAGACUCAGUGAAAUUGAACUCGCUGUGAAGAUGCAGUGUACCCGCGGCAAGACGGAAAGACCCCGUGAACCUUUACUAUAGCUUGACACUGAACAUUGAGCCUUGAUGUGUAGGAUAGGUGGGAGGCUUUGAAGUGUGGACGCCAGUCUGCAUGGAGCCGACCUUGAAAUACCACCCUUUAAUGUUUGAUGUUCUAACGUGGACCCGUUACCCGGGUUGCGGACAGUGUCUGGUGGGUAGUUUGACUGGGGCGGUCUCCUCCUAAAGAGUAACGGAGGAGCACGAAGGUUGGCUAAUCCUGGUCGGACAUCAGGAGGUUAGUGCAAUGGCAUAAGCCAGCUUGACUGCGAGCGUGACGGCGCGAGCAGGUGCGAAAGCAGGUCAUAGUGAUCCGGUGGUUCUGAAUGGAAGGGCCAUCGCUCAACGGAUAAAAGGUACUCCGGGGAUAACAGGCUGAUACCGCCCAAGAGUUCAUAUCGACGGCGGUGUUUGGCACCUCGAUGUCGGCUCAUCACAUCCUGGGGCUGAAGUAGGUCCCAAGGGUAUGGCUGUUCGCCAUUUAAAGUGGUACGCGAGCUGGGUUUAGAACGUCGUGAGACAGUUCGGUCCCUAUCUGCCGUGGGCGCUGGAGAACUGAGGGGGGCUGCUCCUAGUACGAGAGGACCGGAGUGGACGCAUCACUGGUGUUCGGGUUGUCAUGCCAAUGGCACUGCCCGGUAGCUAAAUGCGGAAGAGAUAAGUGCUGAAAGCAUCUAAGCACGAAACUUGCCCCGA